rnacentral:rRNA from 1 species
GACGAACGCUGGCGGCGUGCCUAAUACAUGCAAGUUGAGCGCCGAAGGUUGGUACUUGUACCAACUGGAUGAGCAGCGAACGGGUGAGUAACGCGUGGGGAAUCUGCCUUUGAGCGGGGGACAACAUUUGGAAACGAAUGCUAAUACCGCAUAAAAACUUUAAACACAAGUUUUAAGUUUGAAAGAUGCAAUUGCAUCACUCAAAGAUGAUCCCGCGUUGUAUUAGCUAGUUGGUGAGGUAAAGGCUCACCAAGGCGAUGAUACAUAGCCGACCUGAGAGGGUGAUCGGCCAAAUUGGGACUGAGACACGGCCCAAACUCCUACGGGAGGCAGCAGUAGGGAAUCUUCGGCAAUGGACGAAAGUCUGACCGAGCAACGCCGCGUGAGUGAAGAAGGUUUUCGGAUCGUAAAACUCUGUUGGUAGAGAAGAACGUUGGUGAGAGUGGAAAGCUCAUCAAGUGACGGUAACUACCCAGAAAGGGACGGCUAACUACGUG